rnacentral:rRNA from 1 species
UAGAGGAAGUAAAAGUCGUAACAAGGUUUCCGUAGGUGAACCUGCGGAAGGAUCAUUACAGAUAUAACAUUAUAUAUCUUCCAACCCCCCACAAUUGUGAACUUUUGGUGUAAGUAAAGCUAGUGCCCCUAUUUAGAUAGGGGCAUUGGACCUUACAAUCCAAAUUUUUUUUCAUAUACACAUUUACUAUGUAUGUAACAUGCAUGAUAUAUAAAUAAAAAUAACUUUCAGCAACGGAUCUCUUGGCUCUCGCAUCGAUGAAGAACGCAGCGAAAUGCGAUAAGUAAUGUGAAUUGCAGAAUUCAGUGAAUCAUCGAAUCUUUGAACGCACCUUGCACCUCUUAGUAUUCUGAGAGGUACACCUGUUUGAGUGUCAUUAAUACUACUCCAUGCAAAUUCUUCAUAGAAGAACUGUAGUGGGACUUGGGAGAUUGCAGUUAAUAAUUGCUCUCCUUAAAUGAAUUAGCAGGGAUUAUUAUCAAAGAUCCUUUCGGUUGAUGUGAUAGUUAUCUCCUCUCAACCUUUCUUUGUAUACUCCUAUCUGCUUAAAGUAGUCUCUCUGUUUAAGAAGACAAUUAAAAUUAAGACAUGAUCUCAAAUCAGGUGGGACUACCCGCUGAACUUAAGCAUAUCAAA